UUAGUGUGACCCGAGGGUGUUGAGUUAUGACAACGUCUCUCUUGUAGUUACUGUUCCUCUUCCCUUUGGUGGCCAGUGAUGGAUGGAGAAACUGAUGUCGGGAAUCCUCUGGAAACCUCCGCAAUCACCGGAAAUGAUGAGGAAUGAUGAGGAAUGAUGACAGCCGUAUGGAAGCAUUCCAGGCACCAGGAGGAGCCUGCCUGUCUGUACAGCACUUCCAGCCACCCUCGCUCCCUCUCUUGGCCUCGUGUUCCAACUUCCAUCCGUGACGUGUGCUGACCUGUCCCCCCUCCAUUCAGUGACCAAGGAGGUGAGCCAGGAGAGGAGAGCAGGCAGCCCAUGGACAAUGAAGAGACAGGCGCUGACAACCCUCUGCUGAAUGGAGAUGCCAGUGGCCAAGGAGAGGAAGGUCUUCUAGGAAUGGAGGAUGGAAAGCUGUUAGACAAUGACCGAGCAGACACUGAAACCUAUCAGAAGACACAUGCUGAUUCCCAUCCACUGAAUGUACCCAAGGUUGUCAGGGUUAACGAUGAGACUAAGUAACCGACUCCUGGUGCACAGAGUCCAGGACCUCCUCAGAUGAAUGGAGGUCCUCCCAUGUCUAACAGAGCUGCAGGGGAGACCACUGCUCUAUUGGACAAACAGGCCUUGGACAAGGACCAAGUCACCAAACCUCCUGAGUUAAUAGACCAAGGACCUAAUGACAUGGAGUCAAGAGGAGAACUGUAACAAACGGUGGACGUUUGUAUAACAAAAGAGAACCUAACACCAUAUGAUAAGAUACAGUAAUACAUUAUAUAACAUAUAUAUUAUUUGUGACUUGCUUCAUCAUAAUCAGUCAUGUCAACACAUUCUGAAAAGUGUAUUUUAUUACUCAUUUUAGACUCUAGAUGAUGUUACAUCAGACUUGAUUUAAACCACUGUUUUCAUAGGAAAGCAUGAUUGGUCAGUUCAAACAGGAUGUUAUCUUUAUAAUGCAAUAUAGGAGCAUUAGUAACACCUUCUAUUCAUAAUGCAUCAGGAUGCACAACAUAGGUGCUAAUAACUGCUCAUGAACAUCUAUAACUGCAUAAAGCAUUAUCACCACGAUGUGUAAUGACUUAUGAAGCAAAGUAUUACUAUGCCAGAUACCACAUUAGGAUCAUUAUAUUAUACAUUAUGUGCUCAUUAAGCUAAAAAGUAGUAAGCAAUUGCAAAGUUGCUAAUUAGCAAAAAUGCUAAAAUAUCCCGUGAUGAUAUUCGAACACGCAACCUUUGGGUUGUUAGACGUUCGCCUGCUCUCACACCCAUCCGAAACCAAAGCAUGGAUUACUGUCUGAGCUUGUCCAUAGACUGCUUACAGCUUAAAGUAAGCUAAAUACAUUUUUAAAUUAGGGUGAACUGUCCCUUUAACAGGAGUGCGGAACUCCUACGUGAAGUCGUUACAGUAUAGCCCUCUGACACAUUUUCCUAAAGAGUCUUUCAUGAGGUCACACCACUUAGCUUCAUAAUCAUAAGGCAUUAUGCUGCCUGCUUAAAAUGCUGAAGGAAUAUAGACAUGUAUUAGCCAUUAGUGCCUAUGUCAUGCAAUAUGAUGUAUAUAUUCAUAGAUUAUAAGGUGUUAUAAAUACACUUAUCACACAUUAUCAAGAGGGUAUUCAUAGGACGUGUUACCCACAGGUCUUGCAGAAGGAACUGUACCCCACAUCCCUACCUACUAGGAACAUUGUGAAAAAUACCACAACUUUAGACAGGAAUUGUGUAGCUAUGUUGACAUUUGUAUUCACCGUUUAAUUAGAAUGUUUAACACAUUGAGAGUGUCUGUCAGGUCAAAUGACUUAGACAAGCCACCUGGGAGACACACCAAACAUGUGGAAGAAGGUGCUCUGGUCAGAUGAAACCAAAAUUGAACUUUUUGGCAACAAUGCAAAACGUUAUG